AUCCCAUGGUUAUGACAUUGCCUUAUCGAUUCCUUGAAUCUUUCACAUGCAUCAAACAAAGACUCAUCAUUUCAUUGUCUAAAUGAAAUAAUCUCAUUCAUCAUCUU